rnacentral:sRNA from 1 species
ACCGGUCUUCGGUCAAGGGUAUACGAGUAGCUGUGCUCCCCUGCUAGAACCUCCAAACAAGCUCUCAAGGUCCAGAGUAUCUUUUUUUUAAAGAAGUAUGUGUUGGGGGGCAGU